GAUGAAGAACGCAGCGAAAUGCGAUAAGUAAUGUGAAUUGCAGAAUUCAGUGAAUCAUCGAAUCUUUGAACGCACAUUGCGCCCGCUAGUAUUCUGGCGGGCAUGCCUGUCCGAGCGUCAAUUCAACCCUCAAGCCCCCGGGCUUGGUGUUGGGGAUCGGCGAGCCUCCGCGCCCGCCGUCCCCUAAAUCUAGUGGCGGUCUCGCUGUAGCUUCCUCUGCGUAGUAGCACACCUCGCACUGGGAAACAGCGCGGCCACGCCGUUAAACCCCCAACUUCUGAACGUUUGACCUCGGAUCAGGUAGGAAUACCCGCUGAACUUAAGCAUAUCAAUAAGCGGAGGA
rnacentral:misc_RNA from 1 species